rnacentral:rRNA from 1 species
CCGCUGAACUUAAGCAUAUCACUAAGCGGAGGAAAAGAAAUUAACUAAGAUUGCCUCAGUAACGGCGAGUGAAGCGGCAAAAGCCCAAAGUGGUAAUCUUCACGUUUCACGUGACGAAUUGUAAUCUACAGGAGGGAUUCUCAACAGGAUGUGACGCAGAAGUACCCUAGAAUGGGUCGCCAAAGAGGGUGACAGCCCCGUAUGUGGUGUUGCGUCCUAACGAGAACCUUUCAACGAGUCGGGUUGUUUGGGAAUGCAGCCCUAAUUGGGAGAUACACUUCUUCUAAGGCUAAAUACUAAUGGGAAACCGAUAGCAAACAAGUACUGUGAAGGAAAGAUGAAAAGAACUUUGAAAAGAGAGUCAAAAGACUUGAAAUCGUUGAGAAGGAAGCGGUAGAAAUUUAUUCUGUUGGCUUGAAUGAAGGUGUUCGCCUAAACAUUGCGGGCUAAAGUACUUAAUCGGCUUUGGUUCGUACUUGCGGAAGUGAUAGCUGGAUUCAAGUUAAUGAGGCAAAAUGGGGUUUCUUAGGGAUAAAAGCUUAGUAUACCUGGGGAGGUUCGCCUUUCAGUAUAUUUGUGCUAGUGUCUAGGAAGCCUGAGGGUGCUUUUGCGAUUUUGCUAAAAUGGUUUUUACCGACCCGUCUCGAAACACGGACCAAGGAGUCUAUCAUAUAUGCAAGUGUGCUGGUGGAAAAACCAACACGCGUAAUGAAGGUAAUUGAUGCCAAGCGCAAGCAGCAGCAUCGACCGACCAUGAUUCUUUGAUGAAAGGUUUGAGUAUGAGCAUAUAUGCUAGGACCCGAAAGAUGGUGAACUAUGCCUGGGUAGGGUGAAGCCAGGGGAAACUCUGGUGGAAGCUCGAAGCGAUUCUGACGUGCAAAUCGAUCGUCUAACUUGGGUAUAGGGGCGAAAGACUAAUCGAACCAUCUAGUAGCUGGUUCCCUCCGAAGUUUCCCUUAGGAUAGCUGAGACAAUAACGCAGUUUUAUCAGGUAAAGCGAAUGAUUAGAGGAAUCGGGGGUAAAUUGCCCUUGACCUAUUCUCAAACUUUAAAUUGGUAAGAACCUUGGCCUUUCUUAAGUGAGGCACAAGGGAUCAAUGCUUGUCUCAAGUGGGCCAUUUUUGGUAAGCAGAACUGGCGAUGAGGGUUGCUCCUAACGUUGAGUUAAGGUGCCUAACUACACGCUCAUCAGAAACUACAAAGGGUGUUGGUUCAUCCAGACAGCAGGACGGUGGCCAUG